GGGUUUUUUCCUAAAACCAACUUGUUCUUGGAAAUCGCCCGUGAUUUCGGUUUCUGUUCCAGUGUGAGGCUGCUGGUGGCAGCUGCGGGUGUCGCUGCCGUGGGGCAGCGCAGGGUGCCCGGAGCCUCCCGUGCUGCGGGGACUCGAGUUUGUUUCUGGCCGCUCCUGACUCCGGAGCGUUUUUCCAGGAGCCUUGGGGCUCCCUCUUCCAGGGAUGGUGAGCGAUCCUUAACUGGAAGAAAGGAGAAGGCAUGUGCGUGCGAAAGCCGGCUUUCCCCCCAGAGCUUGUACUCCGAAACUUCGCUAUUCGGUGAAAUUCUGAGCACCAGGAAGCUUUGGUUUUUCCAGGAAGGCGUGAAUAUUCUGGGGUUUUUUCACAUUUUCAGGGAAGAAUUAACGUGAGGGCUCCGGGUACUGUGUUAAGGUCUUACUUUGUUGUAAAUGGUUAAUUUGGCAGGAUCUGUGGUUAAUUGCUCUAAGUGCAGUGAGCCUGGAAUAAAUGGAAUGGUUCUCAUUGAAUAGAAAAGUUCAAGAUCACUACUCAUUCUAUCAGAUAAUCUUUCAAGUACCAGCAAUUUUUAUUUGUAUAUAUUCCCUUAUAACCUAUAUAAGGUAACUAAGCUGAGCAUGGAUAUUAUGUUUCUGUAAAACUGUGUUCAUUUUUCAGACGGAAGAGCAAAUACAAUUAGGGUUUUUUGUAUUUACCAAGUAAUUAGGUGCAGAUGUUUUUGCACUGCCACUUCAAAAGUCACCUUGCUCUGUCAAGGUUAUGAUGUGUCCACCAAGCAAUGAAGAUAAAAUAAAAUUCUGCAAAGAAUCUGAGAGUUUUUAAUGUCCUCUUGGCUUAAAAUGAGUUGGAAUUGUUUGGUGGUAAUUUUUCUUUCUUUUAUCCUUAAACAUAUUAAAGAGAAAAAUGAAAAUAACUUAUUUUGAAUAUCUAAAUGCUCCUUUUACAAAAGGGGACGCUUUAGAACGCUUGUCUAGAAAAAGAAGUGAGCUGAAACAUUGUGCUAAUGGGAUUUGCAGCAUAAAAUAUGGCUAAUUUCUCUUGUAUGACUACAGGUGGCAGUGUAGAAGCCAAGAACAAAAAUUGGCAGAAAUUGUGUUCUGUGUACGAGAAUAUGAAGAGUGUACUCAUGACUAAGCACAGGAACCUGGAAAACCACAGGCUUUAGUCAGGUGAUCCCUGAUGAGUAGCCAGCCCACCAAGAAGGGACUGCAGCACACAGGUAAGAGAGAAGCUGUGUACUCUUACAUGGGGGGGUCCAGGGAAGAAGGUAAACAUCUCUAACAUUGUUUGAAUAGUUUAGAAAACAAAAAAAAAAUCCUGACUUUCUUGGCUAUGUAACACUGUGAUUGUCUCUUUCAAUGCUGCUACUUCUGCUAUUCAGUCUUGUUCUCGAUUUUUUUUUUUUUAAUCUGUCUUUAAUUAGAAGCUUUAUUGAAAAAAAAAAAGAAAAACCCAAUUGUGUGGUGUUAAAUAUAGAUCUGGGUAUUGCAUGAAUAUUGCAUUUUGUUACAUUUUGAAUAAAAUAACUUUCCAUAAUGCAAGUGUGUCAAACUCAUAUUUAGAGGGGAAUUCCCAAAUACUUGAACUAUGAGUCAUAAAAAGUUAAAGGACCAGUACAACAGUUCAGGAUAAAAACUCCGUUCAGCCUUGGGCAGCUGCUUUUGUACACAUUGGUAGUAAAAUAUGUCUUAAAAAAACCCCCAAAGAUUCACAAAGCUGAAGCUCUUUAAACUCUGCUGACCACAACCUAAAAGAUAGGUGGCAGAGAUGAAACAGAUGACUGGGGAGGAGGAUUGUGCAAGUGCUCUUGGUUUCAUGCAUCUUUUCAUUCAUUGUGUCUAACAACCUGGUGAAUGAGUCUUCUUAUGUGCUGAGGGUGCUUCAAAGGGCUCUGAUUCCUUAAUUCCUGUUUUAUAAUGUCUUAGCAAGAAUACAGACUGAAAACCAGGAAUAAGUGCACUUACUCUAAAUGCAGGAGUACAGAAUAAAAAUGCUGGGUGAGUGUGACAGAUAAAAGUGGGAUUUAACUAUUUUUAUGUCUGGCUAUUGUGCCACACUCUCUUCUCUUUAAACAAAACUACACUAAAUUUUCUUCCUUAUUGCUGUUUUUCCUUACUAGAAGAGCUCAGAUACUCUCUGAAGUUCUGAAUUACUCCUGUUUAAAAAUGUGUUCAGAGUUUUCUAGGAUGAAAAAGGCAGGCAAGUCUUCCUAGCUCCCACCUGCAGCUCUGAAAAAUUCCUCGUGGUCUAGGGUUGAAAACUUUAUUUUCAAAACCUGCCAUACAAAUUUCCAUGUUUUCCUGGUAACACUGCUCCUGCUCACUAAUUUGCAGUAUUUAAAUAAAAACUACUUGAGCCAUA